rnacentral:rRNA from 1 species
UAAAGGCCGAGGGAUUGCCUCAGUAGCGGCGAGUGAGCGGCAAGAGCUCAGAUUUGAAAUCGUGCUUUGCGGCACGAGUUGUAGAUUGCAGGUUGGAGUCUGUGUGGAAGGCGGUGUCCAAGUCCCUUGGAACAGGGCGCCCAGGAGGGUGAGAGCCCCGUGGGAUGCCGGCGGAAGCAGUGAGGCCCUUCUGACGAGUCGAGUUGUUUGGGAAU